rnacentral:rRNA from 1 species
GACGAACCGUGCAAACGUUGUUCGGAUUCACUGGGCUUAAAGGGCGCGUAGGCGGACCCAAAAGUCCGGGGUGAAAUCUUUCGGCUUAACCGGAAAAUUGCCUUGGAUACUGUGGGUCUUGAGGGAGGUAGGGGCAUGCGGAACUUCCGGUGGAGCGGUGAAAUGCGUUGAUAUCGGAAGGAACUCCGGUGGCGAAAGCGGCGUGCUGGAUCUCUACUGACGCUGAGGCGCGAAAGCCAGGGGAGCAAACGGG